rfam:Triticum aestivum genome assembly, contig: Triticum_aestivum_CS42_TGACv1_scaffold_343271_4DL
UUGCUACUCCCUCCGUCCGAAAAAACUUGUCCCUCAAAUGAAUGUAUCUAGCACCAAGUUAGUGCUAGAUACAUCCAUUUGAUGGACAGGCUUGGGACAAGCUUUUUCGGACGGAGGGAGUACAAG